UUGAAUUCUAUUUUUCUCUCUCUUUUUUUUCUGAGCAGCUGUCUCUAUUUUCUCUUUUUCAGUAAUAUUGACGUGCCAGAAAGGAAAGUGCAGAAGGGAGAGACAUCACUGAGCUCAGAACCGUGAAACCUGUAAAGCCCAUUGUCUACUAACCUACAACAAGGAAAGGUUUAUCACUGGCAAGAUUUUAUGUACCUUUUCUGAUGAAUCGCCAUUGAGAAAUGAAGACUGUUGUUUACUUCAGAAAAAGUUACAUCCAUGUAUGUACCAAAUAAAGCAGUAGAUUUACAGAAAAGAACACGCUGGAUGCAAGUUUCUUCUGAGAACUGUGCCGGAGAAA
rnacentral:lncRNA from 1 species